rnacentral:rRNA from 1 species
UACGGGGGGGGCAAGCGUUGUUCGGAAUUACUGGGCGUAAAGGGCUCGUAGGUUGCCAACUAAGUCAGACGUGAAAUCCCUCGGCUUAACCGGGGAACUGCGUCUGAUACUGGAUGGCUUGAGUUCGGGAGAGGGAAGCGGAAUUCCCGGUGUAGUGGUGAAAUGCGUAGAUAUCGGGAGGAACACCAGUGGCGAAGGCGGCUUUCUGGUCUGCUCUUGACGCUGAGGCGCGAAAGCUAGGGUAGCAAACGGG